AAGCCUUAUUUCUGUGAUUGAAAGGGUAUCACAGCCCAUGGUCUAUCUUUAAGAGAGCUGAACUACCUAAAGUUUUUAUAAGCACAGCAGGCCCAAACCUUGAGCUAUUUAUGUCAGUUUGACCUUGCCAGUCAUUCGUCCCUGUGAUAACUCCAUCUGAAUUCCUCAAGGAGCCAUUUUUGUGGCUGCUGACAGCAUAGACAUCUAUAGAUUAUUUGCUUUCACCACAUUCCAACAAUUCUCGGCUUUUCCCAUGACCCCAUUUCCACUUGCACUUCCAAGAUCAUGACCUCCACUUUGGAAACAGCAUUUGCUCCAAGAUAUACUCUGCCAACCCAAUGCACAACCCAAAAAAAUAAAUGAGCUCUGUGUUGAGCAUGACCAGGAAGAAGGGUUCUGAAAUAACAGUCACAGCUCCAAAACCUUCCCCUAUGGGGAAAUGACCUGUGAAAAAUCCAAGCUCUGUUCUGUCAGCUUUCUCAACAGCCCAUACGUUAUGCCAUGAAGUUACAGGCUGAUAUUCCUUAUGGGACACCCCCAAGUCUGAGUCUGCUACUUUGUGAUGAUGAACUCAAGGCCAGCUGUCUACAUCAGAAGGACAUUAUUAAGGUCAGGAAUUUCCUGAGCUUUGCCCAUGGUUGUAGCAUGGUGCCAGCAGUGACACAGAGCCCACACCCCAGAUGUCAUAUCUCCCUCAGAGGACACAGAGGAAGGAAGGAAAGGAAGGUGCCAAACUGCCUACAUGAUUCUGUUUCAAUUAGCAAGACUCCUUGCCAGCUGUGUGGAACUGGAACAAGCAAAGCAUGAGGAAUAUGCUUUGCCUGUAACUCUGAGCUGCUCUCUAAUUGCUAUGACAAGUGAAUAAAGCUGAAUCAAUUGAAGAUUUUUUUUUUUUC
rnacentral:lncRNA from 1 species